CGGUUGAACGACCCUUCAAUGGCGAUACUUAAUGAAAGCUGCUUCUCAAGGGAUAACAAAAUGGCGGCAUUUUUAGUUUGAAGUGUGUAAUUGUGCAAGACAAACAAAGACCAACAAAGACUAGGAAAUUCAUUUUGAGAUUUUCCAACAUUAAACAAUGCUACAAAAAUGAUUUAUGCGACAACUGAUCGGCUUUCAGUACAUUUUAAACAAGAUUGUAUAUUGGCUGAUCUAGCUGCCUUACAUCUACAGACUACUUUUCAGAGGAUGAACAUGUCGAUGACCGUAACCAUUGGAAAGAAUGGUGUGCAAUAGCGAAUAUUGCCCAAUAAUUCCGGGUAUUUCAUCGCGAUGUCUCGAUGUACCUAUGUCCUGUCUUCCUUUGCAAUUUCCAAAGAAGAAAUGAAAAUUGUAUUCCUUUUCCCAAGCAUAUAUUUCCUUUGUGGUGCUUGGCAAUUUGUGGGAUGAAAUAAAGCUGAACUGCCGAAGAGUGCGUUACGUAAUUGAAGUUACCGUCUCAAUAUCACGAAUAUUUAUUUUGCAGUGAUAGCAGUAGCUUAAACUAGAUAACAGUAUUGGACAGUAGGAGUUAUUGAAGUCCGCUUUUACAGUAUAUGUGAUCUACUAAGUUACAUGUAGUCUUUGUUUCGAAUGCAAAUCGUGAAAAUUGAGACAAAGACGUGGGGGACAUUAAAAGUGGGACGCUUUUAGAUGAAUUACGAUAUUUAAACAAUUUUGCUUAUUGCAAAUGUAUGAAGUGUCUUUGGCUUGAAUGCAACAUAAAUCUAUACGACAUUAUGACUCAUGUAUGCCCCAUAUAUAAGGGCUACGUUAA